AGCUUUGUGCAGGGGGCAGUAUCGUAGCCAAUGAGGUUUAUCCGAGGCACGAUUAUUGCUAAUAAAACAAUGGUUAUAACAACAUACCAUAAUAAAAGCUGAGUGUGAUCUCUUGCUGUCAAAAUGUUUC
rnacentral:snRNA from 1 species